AGAGUUUGAUCAUGGCUCAGAUUGAACGCUGGCGGCAGGCCUAACACAUGCAAGUCGAGCGGAAACGAGUUAUCUGAACCUUCGGGGAACGAUAACGGCGUCGAGCGGCGGACGGGUGAGUAAUGCCUGGGAAAUUGCCCUGAUGUGGGGGAUAACCAUUGGAAACGAUGGCUAAUACCGCAUAAUAGCUUCGGCUCAAAGAGGGGGACCUUCGGGCCUCUCGCGUCAGGAUAUGCCCAGGUGGGAUUAGCUAGUUGGUGAGGUAAGGGCUCACCAAGGCAACGAUCCCUAGCUGGUCUGAGAGGAUGAUCAGCCACACUGGAACUGAGACACGGUCCAGACUCCUACGGGAGGCAGCAGUGGGGAAUAUUGCACAAUGGGCGCAAGCCUGAUGCAGCCAUGCCGCGUGUAUGAAGAAGGCCUUCGGGUUGUAAAGUACUUUCAGCAGUGAGGAAGGUUCAUAUGUUAAUAGCGUANNGANUNNCGUAG
rnacentral:rRNA from 1 species